UUAUUUCCUAUCCUCAUGUCUGUUUGUGCCCGCCACAUGUUUGAUUUUAUGCCGAUAUGAGAACUGCAUGUGAGAACACCACAUUGGCUCAAAGCUCACAUUAACUUGAGUGAAGGUGAACCAAAGAAGUGAUAUGUGGACGUUGCUCUCUAAUAUGCAGGAUUUAAAAGGCAACUGUGUUAAGGCCAUUGGUGAAUAAAAGUUCCACAUUAGAUAGAUUAAAGGUUGUUGUGAUGCUUAUAUAUUCUUGGACUCACCCAUCUAAAUACCAAGAUUUUUAGAUAGGAUUUUGAUGUGGUAUUGAAGCCCAUUGAUCCUUCUUAUCUACCAAAACCUUUAUACUCCCGCUUACUAAUCUACAUAUUGCUCCUCGUUUCAAGUUUUAUUACUCAGAUUCUACAUGUCAAAGGGAGUGUCUAUCUUGUCAAGUGGAGAAUAUCGGUUAUAUAUGCAUAUACAAAGUCACAGGGUGUUCACUCUGGCUUCUUCUAUUAGAAGAUGUUGGCCAUUGAAGAUGUCAAGAAUUGGCUCCAAGACUAGUUUCUGUUUUAGAUUUUUUUUAUUUUAUUUUAUGAGACAUGUAGUACCUUUUGGUUAUGUAAGAGUAAUGACAAUAUCAAGGACUUUCUUUCUUAUAUACCAUGUUGACAAAUGUGAUA